CUCCAGCGGGCCUCCGACUCUCAGCUUCCUCCUCUUACUUCUCCGAAAGCCUGAGAAAGGGAAGAGCGGCUUCUGAACUUCCUCAGGCAGACCGAGCGCCCCAACUGUCGCCCGUUCUGACUGGCUGGUGCCCCCGGGCCACUAUGUGUGGUUAGUGCAGACAGCAGCUGGGGACGAAGGCGGCCCUCACUGAGCCCCUCCGGGAGCCUCCAGCCGCCAGGAACGUCCCACCUCCGGGCUUUCCCACGUGCUGCUUCCCGGCCAGAACGACACAGAUGUGACACCGGUGGCUGGUGAAGACUUCUGUGGCUGUCCCUUGCUUGACGGAAGUGGUCAGCAGAGAAGUUCAGUGACUUGCCUGACACUGCACAGUUGGUGACGUAACUAGAACUGGAUGCGGAGCACAGAUAGUUGAAUUUGCACGACCUCAGCGUGACUAAGUAGGUCUCGGCUGCACAGCUGCUCAUGGCUUCUGGGCACGGAGGGCCUCCUCACAGCCAGGCACCUGCACGAUUUCUCAUCAUCACAACACCAUGAAGUGCAGAUGCCAUUAUGCCCAUUUCAAAGGAGAGACCCAGAGAAAUCAAGGAACUUGUCCAGUG